ensembl:lncRNA
AUGCAGCUCAAAAUAAACUUAAGGCACCGACAAAUGCAAAACACUGGGCGCGAAUAACGUUACAGGUGUAUCAAUUCUUGUGAAGGGCAUGGCUGCAGGAAACAAGUCCGUUUCUGAGUUACUCAGAGAACUUGCUAACCGCUUAGAUUGAACGUCUUCACCUCAGUCUGCGUAUUGCAGCAGUGUACUGGAGAUGAAGUGGUCCCUGGUCCAAGUUCUCAUCACAACCGCACAGUGUUAACGUUAGCAAAUGCUAACGCUAUCACAGCUAGCUCCACUCCACGAAACGCUGUUCAGGACUCCAACUUCAGUUUUGGUUUGGUCUCACCGUUGUAGGUCAUAACACAAACAAGUCGUCAAGUCAAGCAGCUGAGGAAAGGGCUUAAGGAAACCAUGGUAUGGCCGCUUCUGACAGAAAGAUCAGACAUCAUUCCUCCUUUCUUACCAAGGGAAUCAGAGACUGCUCCCUGUUGUGAGACUACAAGAUAAGUAAAGCUAUAAAAUGACUGUGGCCUGCCACAGAAGAUGAAGAUGAGGAAGA